CAGUAGCCACGGUAAUACGAAGGGGGCUAGCGUUGUUCGGAAUCACUGGGCGUAAAGCGCACGUAGGCGGACGCUUAAGUCAGGGGUGAAAUCCCGAGGCUCAACCUCGGAACUGCCUUUGAUACUGGGUGUCUUGAGUCCGGGAGAGGUGAGUGGAACUGCGAGUGUAGAGGUGAAAUUCGUAGAUAUUCGCAAGAACACCAGUGGCGAAGGCGGCUCACUGGCCCGGAACUGACGCUGAGGUGCGAAAGCGUGGGGAGCAAACAGGAUUAGAUACCCGAGUAGUCCCUGUCUCUUAUAU
rnacentral:rRNA from 1 species